rnacentral:rRNA from 1 species
UGCAGAGGUCUCAAGCGUUGUUCGGAUUCAUUGGGCGUAAAGGGUCCGUAGGCGGUGUGGCAAGUCGGAAGUGAAAUCUCAGGGCUUAACCCUGAGGCUGCUUCUGAAACUGCCGUGCUAGAGUGCGAGAGAGGCGAGUGGAAUUGCAGGUGUAGCGGUGAAAUGCGUAGAUAUCUGCAGGAACACCCGAGGCGAAAGCGGCUCGCUGGAUCGCAACUGACGCUGAGGGACGAAAGCUAGGGGAGCAAACAGG